UACGUAGGCAGCAAGCGUUGUUCGGAGUUACUGGGCGUAAAGAGUGCGUAGGUGGUGCCCUAAGUCUGUUGUGAAAUCUCCCGGCUUAACUGGGAGGGUGCGGUGGAAACUGGGGUGCUUGAGUGUGGGAGAGGUAAGCGGAAUCCUGGUGUAGCGGUGAAAUGCGUAGAUAUCGGAAGGAACACCUGUGGCGAAAGCGGCUCACUGGACUACAACUGACGCUGAUGCACGAAAGCUAGGGGAGCAAACGGG
rnacentral:rRNA from 1 species